UACGUAGGGUGCAAGCGUUGUCCGGAAUUAUUGGGCGUAAAGAGCGUGUAGGCGGCUUGGUAGGUCCGCUGUGAAAACUCGAGGCUCAACCUCGAGAUGUCGGCGGAAACCACUUGGCUAGAGUCCGGAAGAGGAGAGUGGAAUUCCAGGUGUAGCGGUGAAAUGCGUAGAUAUCUGGAGGAACACCGGUGGCGAAGGCGGUUCUCUGGGCAUGAUUUGACGCUGAGGAGCGAAAGUGUGGGGAGCGAACAGG
rnacentral:rRNA from 1 species